rnacentral:rRNA from 1 species
UAUCUCUGUAGAGUCUGCAUAUCAAUAAGCGGAGGAAAAGAAACUAACUAGGAUUCCCUUAGUAACGGCGAGUGAAGCGGGAAGAGCUCAAAUUUGAAAUCUUCAAGGUUUUACCUUGACGAAUUGUAGUUUAAAGAAGUGUUUUCUGUUGGUGUUUUGGUAAAAGUUCUUUGGAAUAGGACAUCAUAGAGGGUGAGAAUCCCGUAUUUGACCAUUACUUCCAGCGUUGUGAUACACUUUCAAAGAGUCGGAUUGUUUGGGAAUGCAGUCCAAAAUGGGUGGUAAAUUUCAUCUAAAGCUAAAUAUUGGCGAGAGACCGAUAGCGAACAAGUACCGUGAGGGAAAGAUGAAAAGAACUUUGAAAAGAGAGUUAAACAGUACGUGAAAUUGUCAAAAGGGAAGCGUUUGACACCAGUGUUGUUUUCUCGAAAAUCAAUUAAAAAAAGUUGGAUUUUGUAUUGUUAAGACCUUAUCAGCUUACUGUACUCUUUUCUUGCUUUUUUUAAUGCACUUUUCGUUUAACAAGUCAACAUCAAUUUCUUUUGUUGUAAAAGAGUCAUUGGAAGGUGGCUUUCACUUCGGUGAAAGUGUUUAUAGCCUUUGGCUUCUGCAAUCGGAGAGAUUGAGGUCUGCAGCGUAGAUCCUUCGGGGCUAGAUACGUAGAUGCUAAGUUAUAGUUUUUUAUAGACAACUUGUUGACUAUAAUUAAUCAUGUAGCUUACUCGUUUGCGCUAUUUUACCUACGCUUAGGAUGUUGAAGAUGUAGCACAUCAU